CCUACGGGUGGCAGCAGUGAGGAAUAUUGGUCAAUGGACGAGAGUCUGAACCAGCCAAGUAGCGUGAAGGAUGAAGGUGCCAAGCAUUGUAAACUUCUUUUGUCAAGGGACAAAAUCAGGCUCGAGAGCCUGACCGAGGGUACUUGAAGCAAACGCAUCGGCUAACUCCGUGCCAGCAGCCGCGGUAAUACGGAGGAUGCGAGCGUUAUCCGGAUUUCUUGGGUUUAAAGGGUGCGUAGGCGGACUGUUAAGUCAGCGGUAAAAGCCCGGGGCUCAACCCCGGCGAGCCGUUGAACCUGGCUGUCUUGAGAUGUCGAGAGGUAUGCGGAAUGCGCAGUGUAGCGGUGAAAUGCUUAGAUAUUGCGCAGAACUCCGAUUGCGAAGGCAGCAUACCGGCGGCGAUCUGACGCUGAGGCACGAAAGCGUGGGUAUCGAACAGGAUUAGAUACCCUUGUAGUC
rnacentral:rRNA from 1 species